rnacentral:misc_RNA from 1 species
AACGCACCUUGCGCUCCUUGGUAUUCCGAGGAGCAUGCCUGUUUGAGUGUCUCGAAUUCAUCAACCCCUCCCGUCUUUGCUGACGGGCCGGGGCUGGACGUGGGGGCAUGCGACCGAGAGGCCGCUCCCCUCAAAUGCGUCGGUUGGACCUGUGGGUCGGACUCGACCGGGCGUUGUACCAUCCUCGCUCCGACGAGAAGUUCCCCGUCUAGCGUCCCUCCUCGACCUGCCGUCGUGCGGCGGUCAAAAGGAAAGGCGCGAGCCUUUCGAAAUCUGACCUCAAAUCAGGUAGGACUACCCGCUGAACUUAA